rnacentral:lncRNA from 1 species
UCCGGAGUUCAUAUCCAAAUCUGAUCCAUUCGAGUGAGCCGAUCUUAGGGUCCUUCAAGUGGUAUCAGAGCCACUUGUUUGGUAUCUUCUAAAUCAUUCAUCUUUCUCAUCUUCCAUUUCUUCAUAAACACUCUUCAUCUAUCUAUCUUGAAUCCGGGCCCCUCAUUACCAUCCUCAAUCUAUGAAAAAAAAAGAAAGAAAAAGAUCUAUCAAAAAAAAAAAAAAUUCGAAAAGUUUUUCAUUUGGGGAUUGGUGGUGGAAGAGAAAGUCUGCUGGCUGAGGAGAAAUCCAGCUUUUGAAGUGGUUAAAACGGAUUCCCAAAACAGAAAAUCUCUUAUCUUUCUCUCUUUUUAAAAUUCCCUUGUGUUUGCUUGGAUUUUGUCCAUUGAGUUUCUUUGAUUUGUUCUUCUUAGAAUUUUGAGUGAAAACUUGUUGUGUGACCAUCCAAAUUCUGAGAGAAACACGUGUGUGGGUGAGGAUCAAACACUUGAGAGAGUGAGGAAUUUUUAUCUAACGUUUUGUGUUUAAGAAAUUUCAGGAACCAUGAGUAGUGAUGAUGAACGGAACCGUCCC